AUGACGAGUUAUGUACUGUCAUCAUGCUGCGGUGGGAAUGAAGGGAGGGUAAGGAUGUCCACUUAUAGUAAUUGUGAGGCCAGUCAUAACUCACAAGUACUGCAGUUCAAUAUGUUGACUGGUGAGUGUGAGGCUUUUCUGGCUUCUGUGAGUCAGCUGCCAUAUAGAGAAGUGAUGGUUGGCAUUUCUCUCGCAUUGAGUAUGACAAGAGCCCCGUUAUGGCCAAAUGCUCUGUGACUGUGAAGUGUUGUUUAGACACUCACAUUGAAAGGUCCUAUAGCACAUUACAUGUCAUCACAAUAGCAUUUGAAUUGAGUAGCAUGCGGUUACUGAUAUCUCAGAUCUCUCACUGCAUUUCUGUGGAUGUUAUAAAAUUUCACAUUUUCAGGUGACAGCUUUCAAGGGGUCUAUAUCUGUAUUUUUUUAACCACUCUAAGUCCUCUUAAAAUGCCUGAAAAGUAGUUUUUCAUAACCAAUUUCCACCUCUAUCUCAUCUUAGAAGAAAAUAGGAGUUUUUGCUGCUAUGUCUUUAAGGUAUCCAUGUAAACACUGUUGUCAUAUGUGAAAACAGCAUUUUACUGUUGCGACUGUGCUUUUGCAAAAUGUGUCUGCGCAAUAUAGUUAAGAUUUGGGACCUUGUAAAAAUGAACUUCACUUUUUCCUUAUGUUGAGAUGCUUUUGAAGCUUCUGCAGAGCAGUAGGUGCUACACAGCCAUUAUCAGCAUAAACUAGGUUUUUCUGAUGUUAGGAAUGACAAUUAAACAUUGAAUUAUGAUGAAUGUAAGUAGUUAUAUGUUAAUGAGUUUUGGUUUUCUGACAUCAGGAAUCUAAGGAUUUUGGAACAAGCCAUUCUUGCAGUUUAGUUUCAGUAGAUUGUCUUUUUGAAUUGGGAAAGUAUUUUUGUUUUAAGUUAUUGUAUUUUUUUUAUAGUGUAUUUUCAUUCAAGAAGAUAUUGUGAACACAAGUGUAUAGCGUUGAUUCCGGCAGGUCACGUGAGUCAAUUUUAAGUAGAAUAAACAUACAGAAUAUCAUAGUGCUCAACGUGUCACAACGGCAAGGGAACUGUAACAUGAAUUUAGUUCGGGACUAAAAAAACCCAGAGAGGGAAGUUAGACUCAUGAUUUUAAGUCCUCCACAGUCAAUUUAGAUACAGAUUCUUUUAUUUGAGAGACAUUUGAGUCACUCAGGAGAUUAAGAUAUUUAUAAUAGAGAUUUUCUAUAUAACUUUUUAUUCCUCUUACAAACACAUUAGUGUUAUCUUUUCAAAACAGUAAAUUCAAGUAGGAGACAGUUUGUCCUUAAUGGUUACUCCCUUGUUGUUCCAACUGCUUCAAACAACACAACAAUAUUUAGUGCGUUAAUAAUUGCAACAUAUUCAUCAGUCAUCACAAGAGGUUCAAAAAAGCCUUGGUUUUAAAUGUACGCCUGCGCAACACAAACGCAAUUAUUACAGAAAUCAUAGAGCGUUUCUUGGCAAUUUUGGAUCCACUUCAGCUGUGAAAUCUGUUAUUCAGCUGUCUGAUGAUUCUGUCCUAAAUUGGGGAAUAUUUUUUCUCCCAGGUCUUGAUGAAAGCUUCAAGUAAUCACAUUUAAAUUGUGCUUCAGUUUAUGCUGAGCCUCAGCUCUAACCGUAGUGUUAUUGUUACUGUCACUCUCUUUUACCCCUCAUAAUAAAAUGUCUCAUUUAACAGGUGUACAUUUCCCUCUAGAAGAACUUUUUAAAUUGAACCUUUAUUAUGUUAUGGAUAUAAUCCCAAACAUAACUAAAUUAAGUAUAGAGAUAAAACUUCCAUAAUCACAAACUCGAAGGAAUACUUUACCUAAAAAUAAAAACCUGCUGAAAAUGUACUCAUCCUCAGGCCAUCGAAGAUGCAAAUGAGUUUGUGUCUUCAUCUGAACAGAUUUGGAGAUGUUUAGCAUUACAUCACUUGCUCACCAAUAGAUCAUCUGCAGUGAAUGGGUGCCGUCAGAAUUAGAGUCCAAACAGCUGAUUAAAACAUCAGUAAUCCACACGACUCCAGUCAGUUAUUGUCUUGUUAAGUUGUGUAAGAGCUGUGUGUUUGUAAGAAAAAAAUUCAUCAUCAAGAUGUUUUCAACUUCAAACUGUUGCUUCUGGCUAAAAUACAACUUCUCUAUCCAUGAUAUUGCUUUCUCCAUUUUAAAAGUCUUAGUCGGGAGAGAAAUUUGACACAUGUGAGAGGACAACAUGGGAUGGACUUUUUCAGUGGAGGACACAUUAUUAUGGUUUAUGGACUAUGGACUAUGGUUUAUGUCUUGUAUUUUAGUCAGAAGCAACAUUUUGAAGUUAAAAAUGUUUUAAUGAUGGAUUUGUUUAUAACAAAUAUGCAGCUUUUCAUUGGAUAAGAUGUUUAUUGACGGCCUGGAGUUGUGUGGAUUAUUGGGAUGGUUUUAUGAGCAGUUUGGACUCUUAUUCUGACGGCACCCAUUCACUACAAAGGAUUCAUUGGUAAGCAAGUAACACAACAUUUCUCUGGAUCUUCUUAGAUGAAGAAACAAUCUACAUCCUGAGGUUAAGGAAAUCUUCAGCAAAUGUUCAUUUUUGGGUUUCAUAUUUGAAUGUGCAUUAAUAAUUUAGUGUUUGCUCGUCUCAUAUAGUUAUAACAAUCAAACAUAUUAGAGUUAUAUCUGGACAGAACUUAUAUCUUGGGCUGUAUUUACACCCAGAGUUAAUUCAACUAAAAUUCUGUAGACACAACCUGUGCCCGAGAUACAGUUUUCACAUGAAAUCUAUGAGAAACCCAGAGUUUUGUCAGUAGCUUUGGAGUUUUUAAGGAGCACAGUGGUACCAGGUUUACAUAAUUUUUUUAUUUCUUUUCUUGUAUCAGUAAAUGACUGAUACAUACUUUCUCUGCCAUUUUCUACAUCACAACUCCUACACACUUCCUCUGAAAGGUAGGAUUUUUUUCCCCCUCAUGUUGUUUUUUGAAUAAUGAAAAACAUAUUCAGCAUUCAAGAACAAACAAAGUAAUGCAGUCAGUGUGUGUUUGAGGUUCAGACUGUCAGUGUGGGUCCACAGCUGAACUUCAAACAAAAUUAAUUUAAAUUAUGUCUCAUUUAGACACAAACUCCUGAAGACAGUGGGUGUCUUUGAAUGUUUCCACUGACCAUUUUUAUCAAUGAAAGCCAAUGAGGGCUUUAGGGAGACAUUAGUAGAACAUUUGUAGAGAAGUUAAAAAGGGGAUUGGAAAAAAAUGAAAUAAGUCUCAGCUGUCAGAUCUUCCCACCUCCAUUCCUGGUUUACUUUAGGAGUGGGAUUCUUGGUUUUUUUUUUUUUUUUUUUUUUACUUGAACAGCAGGGUUUUCCUUUUAGAAGGAGGAAGAAACGGAAUAAUUUAUUUAACACUUUGAACAAAGAUCUCUACUCAGAAACACAAUUUUAUGUAAACAACCAGGGAGGGUCAGAGCUGUGGCAUAGCAGCUGUGCUGCUCAUUUGGGAAACGUAAAUUUGAGUAUGGCUCCUUGCCAUCAUUUCCUGUACUUUCAACACUAUUUCAACAUUAUUGUUAAUAAAAUAUGACAAAAAUAAAAUAUAUACACCAGAAAAACAACAAAUCAACAACCGGAGAGGGAGCUGUUAUGUUAAUGUUUUAUUGGAACAGUGAGAGGAGGUUUAUUAAACUCCUCUGUGCAUUGAAAUGUCUCAGCUGUAAAUUGGUGUGAUUAUUCUGUUUGUCACAGUUGUGAAGGAAUAAUUGAAGAGCCCAUCCAAAUUUCUCAUUUCAUAUCUAUCAAUGUGACUCUCAAGUAGGCAAGCGCAUGUUUUGAAUUGUGGCCUUUGAGAGUAUCUUUAGGAUAUUAUUGAUGUUUUUAUGCACUUUUCUUCUUUUUCUCUCACUGCAUCAACCUCAUUUGAAUUCUUGGUGUAAGCGGAGGAUUAAAAACACUAUUAUUGUUUGAUGCAUCCUGCUUGACUCACUAUAUUCUCACAUUGCUGAUUAUAAAACGCAUGUCCUUUAUUUUUCUAUAGAUAAUACCUAAUUGCUAAUUACACUGACUAGGGCUGCACGAUUAAUCGCAUGCAUUUGUCAUGCGUGUCUCAUCAGUAAAGCCGGUUCCGUGAUUAGCGGUAAUGUCUGUCACCUGUUUUCAAACGGGAGCGGCAGUUAAUACACAGAGCCGUAGUUCACUGACAAGCUACGCAAUAUUCUGUUCAUAAUUGAGAUUAAUCGCAUUCGAUUAUGAACACGAUAUUGCGUAGCUUGUCAGUGAACUACGGCUCUGUGUAUUAACUCCCGGUGCAUUUGAAAACAGGUGACGGAUAUUUACCGCUAAUCACGGAACCAGCUUUACUGAUGAGACACGCAUGACAAAUGCAUGCGAUUAAUUGUGCAGCCCUAACACUGACUAUAUCUUUAUAUUAAAACUAGUUACAUAAACAAAAAAACUACAUCAGUGCUUAAAAUAAAUUGACAGCUAAUCUAAGUUGAUUAUGUAGAUAUAAUGCUGUAUAUAAGUGAUGUAACCCAGUAUUAAUGAAUGUGAAGUUUGCAUCCAUACAGGCUCAAAUGAACACAAUGUGCUAAAAACAGCUUCAUCUGACUGAGCAGAUAGACAGACUCAAAUCAGGGAAGAGUUUUUUCCCCAUCACUGAGCAUACAGAAAUCAAAGUUUCUCACCAUCAAUAUGAAAACAGAAAUCAAAGCAAAGACAUAAAACAAUCUUGCUUGUCGCAGGCUCUGAUUUGACUGACAAUGUCGCUUGUCUUUUCAGAGUUAUUUGGGGAAAACUUGUGCGAA
rnacentral:lncRNA from 1 species